rnacentral:rRNA from 1 species
CCUACGUGAGGCAGCAGUGGGGAAUAUUGCGCAAUGGGCGAAAGCCUGACGCAGCGACGCCGCGUGAGGGAUGAAGGUCUUCGGAUCGUAAACCUCUGUCAGCAGGGAAGAACGGUCACUGUGCUAAUCAGCAGUGAAUUGACGGUAUCUGCAAAGGAAGCACCGGCUAACUCCGUGCCAGCAGCCGCGGUAAUACGGAGGGUGCGAGCGUUAAUCGGAAUUACUGGGCGUAAAGCGCUCGUAGGCGGUAUGUCAAGUCAAGGGUGAAAUCCCCGCGCUCAACGUGGGAACUGCAUUUGAAACUGGAGAACUGGAGUGUGUGAGAGGAUAGUGGAAUGCCAGGUGUAGGAGUGAAAUCCGUAGAUAUCUGGAGGAACAUCAGUGGCGAAGGCGAGUAUCUGGCACAUAACUGACGCUGAGGAGCGAAAGCGUGGGUAGCAAACAGGAUUAGAUACCCCUGUAGUC